rnacentral:rRNA from 1 species
GAACGAACGUUGGCGGCGUGGAUUAGGCAUGCAAGUCGAGCGAGGACACGUUAGGUAGCAAUACCCAGCGUGAGCCGAGCGGCGUAAGGGGCAGUAAUACCUGGGGACGUACCCUUCAGUCGGGAAUAGCCGCGGGAAACCGCGGGUAAUGCCCGAUAACACUGAGAAGUCAAAGGCUUGCCGCUGAGGGAGCGGCCCAGGCGCUAUUAGCUGGUUGGUGGGGUAACGGCCUACCAAGGCGAAGAUGGCUAGUGGGUGUGAGAGCACGACCCGCGCCACUGGCACUGAGACACUGGCCAGACACCUACGGGUGGCUGCAGUCGAGGAUCUUCGGCAAUGAGCGCAAGCUUGACCGAGCGACGCCGCGUGCGGGAUGAAGGCCUUCGGGUUGUAAACCGCUUUGGUCCGGAAGUAAGGACGGAGCAAUCCGUCUUGAACGACCGGAGAAACAAGCACGGGCUAAGUUCGUGCCAGCAGCCGCGGUAAGACGAACCGUGCGAACGUUGUUCGGAAUCACUGGGCUUAAAGGGCGCGUAGGCGGCCGGGUUGGUCGUGGGUGAAAUCCCCCAGCUUAACUGGGGAAUUGCCUACGAUACUGCCUGGCUCGAGGGAGGAAGGGGCGGCCGGAACUGUCGGUGGAGCGGUGAAAUGCGUUGAGAUCGACAGGAACGCCGGUGGCGAAAGCGGGCCGCUGGCCCUCUUCUGACGCUGAGGCGCGAAAGCCAGGGGAGCAAACAGGAUUAGAUACCCUGGUAGUCCACGCUGUAAACGAUGGGCACUAGGUGUCCGGGGUAUUGACCCCCUGGGUGCCGCAGCUAACGCAUUAAGUGCCCCGCCUGGGGAGUACGGUCGCAAGAUUAAAACUCAAAGGAAUUGACGGGGGCCCGCACAAGCGGUGGAGCAUGUGGUUCAAUUCGACGCAACGCGAAGAACCUUACCUGGGCUAGACAACGGUGGACCGUCCUAGAAAUAGGAUUUUCCCUUCGGGGACCACCGGUUCAGGUGCUGCAUGGCUGUCGUCAGCUCGUGCCGUGAGGUGUUGGGUUAAGUCCCGCAACGAGCGCAACCCUCGUCCUUAGUUGCCACCAUUCAGUUGGGCACUCUAGGGAGACUGCCGGCGUUAAGCCGGAGGAAGGUGGGGACGACGUCAAGUCAUCAUGGCCCUUAUGUCCAGGGCCACACACGUGCUACAAUGGGCGGUACAAAGGGUCGCUAACCCGCGAGGGGGAGCCAAUCCCAAAAAGCCGCUCUCAGUUCGGAUUGGAGUCUGCAACUCGACUCCAUGAAGUUGGAAUCGCUAGUAAUCGCGGAUCAGCACGCCGCGGUGAUACGUU